rnacentral:rRNA from 1 species
UACGUAGGGCGCAAGCGUUGUCCGGAAUUAUUGGGCGUAAAGAGCUCGUAGGCGGUUUGUCGCGUCUGCUGUGAAAACCUAAGGCUCAACCUUGGGCUUGCAGUGGGUACGGGCAGACUAGAGUGCGGUAGGGGUGUCUGGAAUUCCUGGUGUAGCGGUGGAAUGCGCAGAUAUCAGGAGGAACACCGGUGGCGAAGGCGGUUCUCUGGGCCGAUACUGACGCUGAGGAGCGAAAGCGUGGGGAGCAAUCAGG